rnacentral:rRNA from 1 species
AUUUUUGUGAUAUUAUAAUUUAAGAUUGAUUCUGUCUUUUUUAUUGGGUUGGCUAUGAAAUUUGAUAAUGUUAUAUAUAAAUCUUUGUGUGAUUUUAGUUUUGUCUAAAUGAUAAAAUUUAAAUUUAUUUGUAGUUUCUAAUAUUAAAUAUUUUUGAAAAAUAGAUUUAGUUAAUUAUUUCUAGGAUUGUAAAAGGUUGUGCCAGCAUACGCGGUUAUACAAUUUAUUCAAGUUAAUUAUAUCGGUUAUUUAUUAAUUUUGUUUAUUUUAAAUUUAUAUAUUUGUUUUUAAGUGAAAUUUUAAUUUUUAUUAUAUGUUUUUGGUUAAAUAUUAUAAGAAAUUUAGAUUUAUAAACUAGGAUUAGAUACCCUAUUAUUCUAAAUGUAAAUUAUAUCCUUGAUAUUAAUAGUUAUGAUCUUUAAAUUAAAAGAAUUUGGCGGUAAUUUAGUCUUUUCAGAGGAACCUGUUUUUUAAUCGAUAAUCCACGAU